rnacentral:rRNA from 1 species
UGGGGAAUUUUGGACAAUGGGCGAAAGCCUGAUCCAGCAAUGCCGCGUGUGUGAAGAAGGCCUUCGGGUUGUAAAGCACUUUUGUCCGGAAAGAAAUGGCUCUGGUUAAUACCUGGGGUCGAUGACGGUACCGGAAGAAUAAGGACCGGCUAACUACGUGCCAGCAGCCGCGGUAAUACGUAGGGUCCAAGCGUUAAUCGGAAUUACUGGGCGUAAAGCGUGCGCAGGCGGUUGUGCAAGACCGAUGUGAAAUCCCCGAGCUUAACUUGGGAAUUGCAUUGGUGACUGCACGGCUAGAGUGUGUCAGAGGGGGGUAGAAUUCCACGUGUAGCAGUGAAAUGCGUGGAGAUGUGGAGGAAUACCGAUGGCGAAGGCAGCCCCCUGGGAUAACACUGACGCUCAUGCACGAAAGCGUGGGGAGCAAACAGGAUUAGAUACCCUGGUAGUCCACGCCCUAAACGAUGUCAACUAGUUGUUGGGGAUUCAUUUCCUUAGUAACGUAGCUAACGCGUGAAGUUGACCGCCUGGGGAGUACGGUCGCAAGAUUAAAACUCAAAGGAAUUGACGGGGUCAUAGCUGUUUCCU